CCUACGGGUGGCAGCAGUGAGGAAUAUUGGUCAAUGGCCGUAAGGCUGAACCAGCCAAGUCGCGUGAAGGAAGAAGGAUCUAUGGUUUGUAAACUUCUUUUAUAGGGGAAUAAAGGUAUCCACGUGUGGAUAUUUGCAUGUACCCUAUGAAUAAGCAUCGGCUAACUCCGUGCCAGCAGCCGCGGUAAUACGGAGGAUGCGAGCGUUAUCCGGAUUUACUGGGUUUAAAGGGUGCGUAGGUUGUUUUUUAAGUCAGUGGUGAAAGUUUGUGGCUCAACAAUAAAAUUGCCGUUGAAACUGGCAGACUUGAGUGUGUUUGAGGUAGGCGGAAUGCGUGGUGUAGCGGUGAAAUGCAUAGAUAUCACGCAGAACUCCGAUUGCGAAGGCAGCUUACUAGGCCAUAACUGACACUGAAGCACGAAAGCGUGGGGAUCAAACAGGAUUAGAUACCCCGGUAGUC
rnacentral:rRNA from 1 species